rnacentral:tRNA from 1 species
GGAUUGUGGCUCAGUGGUAGAGCGCUGGCCUAGCACGUGCGGGGACCUGGGUUCGAUCCUCAGCACCA